GACGAACGCUGGCGGCGUGCCUAACACAUGCAAGUCGAACGGAAAGGCCCUGCUUUUGUGGGGUGCUCGAGUGGCGAAGGGGUGAGUAACACGUGUGUAACCUGUCCUUGUCUUUGGGAUAACUUCAGGAAACUGGGGCUAAUAUAGGAUAGGAUCUACUGCUGCAUGGUGGGCGUUGGAAAGUUUCGGCGGUUGGGGAUGGAAUCGCGGCUUAUCGGCUUGUUGGUGGGGUAGUGGAUUACCAAGGCUUUGAAGGGUAGCCGGCCUGAGAGGGGGACCGGGCACAAGAGGACUGAGAUAGGGCCCAGACGCGAACGUUAGGCAACAGUGGGGAGUAUUACACAGUGGGCGGGAGCCAGAUGUGACAACGCCGCGUGCGGGAAGACGUCCUUCGGGUGGUGAACCGCUGUCGCCUGAGACGUAGCGUUAGUGACGGUAACGGGUAAAGAAGCACCGGCUAACUACGUG
rnacentral:rRNA from 1 species